UACGGAGGUGCAAGCGUUAUCCGGAUUCACUGGGUUUAAAGGGUGUGUAGGCGGGUCUGUAAGUCAGUGGUGAAAUCUCCGAGCUCAACUUGGAAACUGCCAUUGAUACUAUAGAUCUUGAAUUUUGUUGAGGUAGGCGGAAUAUGUCAUGUAGCGGUGAAAUGCAUAGAUAUGACAUAGAACACCGAUGCGAAGGCAGCUUACUAAGCAAAUAUUGACGCUGAGGCACGAAAGCGUGGGGAUCAAACAGG
rnacentral:rRNA from 1 species